rnacentral:rRNA from 1 species
AGUGAACGCUGGCGGCAGGCCUAACACAUGCAAGUCGAACGGCAGCACAAGAGAGCUUGCUCUCUGGGUGGCGAGUGGCGGACGGGUGAGGAAUGCAUCGGAAUCUGCCCAUUUGUGGGGGAUAACCUCGGGAAACCGGGACUAAUACCGCAUACGACCUACGGGUGAAAGCAGGGGAUCUUCGGACCUUGCGCAGAUGGAUGAGCCGAUGCCGGAUUAGCUAGUUGGAGGGGUAAAGGCCCACCAAGGCGACGAUCCGUAGCUGGUCUGAGAGGAUGAUCAGCCACACUGGGACUGAGACACGGCCCAGACUCCUACGGGAGGCAGCAGUGGGGAAUAUUGGACAAUGGGCGCAAGCCUGAUCCAGCCAUGCCGCGUGUGUGAAGAAGGCCUUCGGGUUGUAAAGCACUUUUGUCGGGAAAGAAAAGCAGCCGGUUAAUACCCGGUUGUCAUGACGGUACCCAAAGAAUAAGCACCGGCUAACUUCGUG